UACGGAGGGAGCUAGCGUUAAUCGGAAUUACUGGGCGUAAAGCGUGCGCAGGCGGCCAUGCAAGACAGAUGUGAAAUCCCCGGGCUCAACCUGGGAACUGCAUUUGUGACUGCAUGGCUAGAGUGCGGCAGAGGGGGAUGGAAUUCCGCGUGUAGCAGUGAAAUGCGUAGAUAUGCGGAGGAACACCGAUGGCGAAGGCAAUCCCCUGGGCCUGCACUGACGCUCAUGCACGAAAGCGUGGGGAGCAAACAGG
rnacentral:rRNA from 1 species